AUGCCUCUGAAUCUCGCUGUGCUGGGCACGCCGCCAUCCGUACCAAGCAGGGCUGGCGAGACCCCCCUGCAAGACCCGGGGGCACGCACGGAGAACACGGGAUCUUUUCCCUCACCGCUUUCCCUCUCUGCUAUCCGGAGCCAAGGACGCUUCCUUCCAGCGGCUACAGCUGCCGGCCCGGACCCGGCGGGCGUCGCAUCCCGGGCUCGGGAGCCGAGGCGAGCACGCUGCCUGGCGAGGGGAGCGAUCCAGGCGUGCUCCCGGCACGGCUGGGGCGCGGGGCUGCGUUACAUAAAGGGUCCCGAGCAGCGGGGCCCGAGCGAUGCCGGCUCCACGAGCACCCCUCGGAUGCGCACCGGGGUCCGGGUGCCCCUUGCCCGGCCUCCCCUCGCCGCUCCGGUUCCGAGUCACCGACCGACCGCUGCUUUCCCAGACUUUUAUCCGGCGUGGCGCCCCCCCGGAGCAGGACCCCCGCCCGCCGCCCCGCCUCUCCCGCAGCCCACCCCGGCGGCACCGGCUCAGCAUCGCUCCCCCUCUCCGCCCGGAUCGCCCCCGGGGCGGAAAACACCCCAAAAAAUCCCUCUGGCCGAUCGACCCGCACUCGGCUCCCCGUCCCCGCCGCAGUUCCCGAGAGGCCCGGGCCCCAAAGAUGGCACUGCCAGGGGCUGGGAGGCCGGUGACAGGGAGGGAGAUGUGGGAGAACACCCCCCACCACCGAAGUGGCCCGGGGCAGGCGGGGCCCCGCACGGGGAACGGGUCUUCUCCGGCAGGCACGCAGGCAGAGGGGCGGCCGCGCCGAGCCGCACCGAAACUUUCCUGCCACAAAGAAGCAGCCACGGCUCCGCCGCCUUCUCCACCUCCUCCUCCCCAGCCACCGGCUCCAUCCCUGAGCGCCCCCCGCCCACUCCCCCGGCGGCGCUCACCGGGCGGCCCCGGGCCGGGCACCCCGCGCUCCGCAGGCGGCUCUCGCUGCUCCGGAGGCGGCGACGGCGGCGGCAGCAACCCCGCGCCUCGUCCCACUGCUCCCCCCUCGGCCUCAGGCAGCGCGGAGGCGGCGGCCUCGCAUCAUCGCCCCGCCUCGGGGCACCGUCAGGCGCCGGGACCCUCCCCCCGGGACCCUCCGCCCCGGCGGGCGCGGCUGCGCGGAGCGGGGCGGGAGAAGGAGGAGAAGGAGGAGGCGGAGGCAGGGGCCGGUCGGUGGGAGCUGCCGCCGGACCGCGCCUAGCGGGACGGCACCUGGGGCACGGCCAGGCCGCUGCAUCCGGAGGGGCUUCUUCAGGGGAGGACGAGGGAACAUUGCCCCGCUACCCGAGUGAGAAACUCGGGGGUUCUUGGGCAAGAAAGGCAGCCCGGGGAAGCCGGGGCCGGAGGAGCGGGGCGCGGGGGUCGCGCCGAGCGGCGCUGCGGGGAGCAGAGUGCGCCCGGGGCAGCGCUCCCACGCCGGAGGGUGGCAGGAGAAAAAGAACCGGGGGCAGCGCCGCUGGAAGCGCCAGCGGGGACCGCGAUGAACUUCCCCGAAGGCUGAGAAGGUGCAGGUGCCCGGGAGAGGGCAGGGGCCGCCCGCAUUGGGAAGAGACCCUGGGCUUCCGGACAUCUUUCCCAGGAUCUCUAGAACACGUCUGGGAGGCGGCUUUCUCCUCCCACGUGCCAAGCUCCAAGGGACCAAGGCAACACGUUUCGUGA
rnacentral:lncRNA from 1 species